GGGGAUUCUUCGGAACCUGUCGCUCAAGGAGGGGUCCGCGUCCCAUCAGCUUGUUGGUAAGGUAAUGGCUUACCAAGGCAUACGGGUAGCCGGCCUGAGAGGGUGAUCGGCCACACUGGGACUGAGACACUGCCCAGACUCCUACGGGAGGCUGCAGUCGAGGAUCAUUCGCAAUGCGCGAAAGCGUGACGAUGCGACGCUGCGUGGAGGAUGACGGCCUUAGGGUUGUAAACUCCUGUCAUGAGGGAAAAACGGCCAUAAGGUUAAUAGCCUUAAGGUGUGAUGGUACCUCAAGAGGAAGCCACGGCUAACUCUGUGCCAGCAGCCGCGGUAAUACAGAGGUGGCGAGCGUUGUUCGGAUUUACUGGGCGUAAAGGGUGCGUAGGUGGCAAUGUAUGUCGGAUGUGAAAUCUCGAGGCUCAACUUCGAAAUUGCAUCCGAAACUGCAUAGCUUGAGUACAGGAUGGGAGAGCGGAAUUCUUGGUGUAGCGGUGAAAUGCGUUAUAUCAAGAAGAACACCGGCGGCGAAGGCGGCUCUCUGGAAUGUUACUGACACUGAGGCACGAAAGCUGGGGGAGCAAACAGGAUUAGAUACCCUGGUAGUCCCAGCCGUAAACGGUGCACACUUGGUGUUGGAGGUAUUGACCCCUCCAGUGCCGGAGCUAACGUGUUAAGUGUGCCGCCUGGGGAGUACGGCCGCAAGGCUAAAACUCAAAGAAAUUGACGGGGGCCCGCACAAGCGGAGGAGCAUGUGGCUUAAUUCGAUGCAACGCGAAGAACCUUACCAGGGCUUGACAUGGGGACCCUUCGGGGGUGGUAGCGAAAGCUACCUUUACCAUCACAGGUGCUGCAUGGCUGUCGUCAGUUCGUGCCGUGAGGUGUUGGGUUAAGUCCCGCAACGAACGCAACCCCUGUGGUUAGUUGCCACCGCCGGUGAUGAGCCGGCGAGCACUCUAGCCAGACUGCCCGUACAAGCGGGAGGAAGGUGGGGAUGACGUCAAGUCAGUAUGGCCCUUACGCCCUGGGCUGCACACGUGCUACAAUGGCCGGUACAGAGGGAAGCAAUACCGCGAGGUUGAGCAAAUCCAGAAAACCGGCCCCAGUUCGGAUUGGAGUCUGCAACUCGACUCCAUGAAGUUGGAUUCGCUAGUAACGGCGUAUCAGCUACGACGCCGUGAAUACGUUCCCGGGCCUUGUACACACCGCCCGUCACAUCAUGAAAGCCGUCUGCACCCGAAGUCACUGAUCUAAUCCCCUUGUGGGAAGGAAGGUGCC
rnacentral:rRNA from 1 species